GACAGAGGGUGCAAGCGUUGUUCGGAAUCAUUGGGCGUAAAGGGCGCGUAGGCGGUUCUAUAAGUCGAAUGUGAAAGCCCAGGGCUCAACCUUGGAAGUGCAUUCGAAACUGUAGAACUCGAGUCCCGGAGAGGGUGGUGGAAUUCCCAGUGUAGAGGUGAAAUUCGUAGAUAUUGGGAGGAACACCGGUGGCGAAGGCGACCACCUGGACGGAGACUGACGCUGAGGCGCGAGAGCGUGGGGAGCAAACAGG
rnacentral:rRNA from 1 species